rnacentral:misc_RNA from 1 species
GGCAUAACCAUGUCUAAGGACUUGGAAGAUCGAGCAUCUUCAGCAACAUUUAGAAGCUUUAAACUUUCUUUCCAGCACUCUUCUCCCCGCCACAGAAGCUUAACUUUGGGGGAAUAGGGAUGAAGGAGUCCACCAGACAUUCCAGAUGCACCUCCACCAAUGCCAACUUCAUCAUAUAUGUCUAUGCAAAAAUUUGAUUCCUUUGCAACAAAUGCCA